rfam:Triticum aestivum genome assembly, contig: Triticum_aestivum_CS42_TGACv1_scaffold_408180_5BL
UUAAUACUCCCUCCAUCCAGAAAUACUUGUCGGGGGAAUGGAUGUAUCUAGAUGUAUUUUAGUUCUUGAUACAUCCAUUUUUAUGCAUUUCUCCAACGAGUAUUUCCGUACAGAGGGAGUAGAAU